UGUGGGAGCGAGCUUGCUCGCGAUAGCGUUGGGUCAGCAGCAUUUGAGCCAACUGGCACACCGCUAUCGCGAGCAAGCUCGCUCCCACA
rnacentral:misc_RNA from 1 species